GCAGCCUGAUGCAGCCAUGCCGCGUGUGUGAAGAAGGCCUUCGGGUUGUAAAGCACUUUCAGUCGUGAGGAAGGUGGUGUAGUUAAUAGCUGCAUUAUUUGACGUUAGCGACAGAAGAAGCACCGGCUAACUCCGUGCCAGCAGCCGCGGUAAUACGGAGGGUGCGAGCGUUAAUCGGAAUUACUGGGCGUAAAGCGCAUGCAGGUGGUUUGUUAAGUCAGAUGUGAAAGCCCGGGGCUCAACCUCGGAAUAGCAUUUGAAACUGGCAGACUAGAGUACUGUAGAGGGGGGGUAGAAUUUUCAGGUGUAGCGGUGAAAUGCGUAGAGAUCUGAAGGAAUACCGGUGGCGAAGGCGGCCCCCCUGGACAGAUACUGACACUCAGAUGCGAAAGCGUGGGGAGCAAACAGGAUUAGAUACCCUGGUAGUCCACGCCGUAAACGAUGUCUACUUGGAGGUUGUGGCCUUGAGCCGUGGCUUUCGGAGCUAACGCGUUAAGUAGACCGCCUGGGGAGUACGGUCGCAAGAUUAAAACUCAAAUGAAUUGACGGGGGCCCGCACAAGCGGUGGAGCAUGUGGUUUAAUUCGAUGCAACGCGAAGAACCUUACCUACUCUUGACAUCCAGAGAACUUUCCAGAGAUGGAUUGGUGCCUUCGGGAACUCUGAGAC
rnacentral:rRNA from 1 species